rnacentral:rRNA from 1 species
CUCGUAGGCGGUUCGUCGCGUCCGGUGUGAAAGUCCAUCGCCUAACGGUGGAUCUGCGCCGGGUACGGGCGGGCUGGAGUGCGGUAGGGGAGACUGGAAUUCCCGGUGUAACGGUGGAAUGUGUAGAUAUCGGGAAGAACACCAAUGGCGAAGGCAGGUCUCCGGGCCGUUACUGACGCUGAGGAGCGAAAGCGUGGGGAGCGAACA